rfam:Kingella denitrificans ATCC 33394 genomic scaffold SCAFFOLD1, whole genome shotgun sequence.
GAUUUUGUUAAAAUAGGUAAAACAGAAGUCGGCGAAAGACAGGUAAACAUGAGCUGGAUACCUGUGCAAGAGUUGUAUUACUUUCGCUGUUUUUUCAUUUUUAUCCUUAAGAAAGUAACACUCUAUGGCAACUGGUAUUGUUAAAUGGUUCAACGACGCUAAAGGCUUCGGCUUUAUUACCCCUGACGAAGGCGGCGAAGAUUUGUUCGCACACUUCUCUGCAAUCAACAUGGAAGGCUUCAAAACUUUGAAAGAAGGCCAAAAAGUCUCUUUCGAUGUUACCACCGGCCCUAAAGGUAAACAAGCCUCAAACAUCCAAGCGGCAUAAUAUUGCCGGCCUUUAAAAAAGGCAGCCUGCAACGGCUGUCUUUUGUUA